rnacentral:rRNA from 1 species
UAAAAGCUUGGUCCUGGCUUUACUGUCAUCUUUAGCCAAACUUACACAUGCAAGUCUCCGCACCCCUGUGAGAAUGCCCUCAAUUUCCCGUCCGGAAACGAGGAGCUGGUAUCAGGCACACCCCCGUAGCCCAAGACGCCUUGCUCAGCCACACCCCCAAGGGAGUUCAGCAGUGAUAAAUAUUAAGCAAUGAGUGAAAACUUGACUUAGUUAAGGUUAAUAGGGCCGGUCAACCUCGUGCCAGCCACCGCGGUUAUACGAGGGGCCCAAGCUGACAGACGUCGGCGUAAAGAGUGGUUACGGAACGACCUAAACUAAAGUUAAACACCCCCCAAACUGUUAUACGCGCCCGGGGGCCGGAUACUCCACCACGAAAGUGACUUUAAUUUUCCUGAACCCACCACAGCUAUGGACCAAACUGGGAUUAGAUACCCCACUAUGCAUAGCCGUAAACUUUGAUAGUGUUAUACACCCGCUAUCCGCCCGGGGACUACAAGCAUCAGCUUCAAACCCAAAGGACUUGGCGGUGCCUCAGACCCACCUAGAGGAGCCUGUUCUAGAACCGAUAACCCCCGUUCAACCUCACCACCCCUGGCCAGCCCCGCCUAUAUACCGCCGUCGUCAGCUUACCCUUUGAAGGCCUCAUAGUAAGCAAAACGGGCACAGCCCCAAACGUCAGGUCGAGGUGUAGCGUAUGAGGUGGGAAGAAAUGGGCUACAUUCUCUACUCCAGAGAACACGAAAGGUAAAAUGAAACAAAUACCUGAAGGCGGAUUUAGCAGUAAGAAGAAAAAACGAGCGUUCUUCUGAAGCUGGCUCUGAAGCGCGCACACACCGCCCGUCACUCUCCCCAAAAUUUUACACUUCUAGUAAUUUUAAAAAAGAAAUAAAUAAAGGGGAGGCAAGUCGUAACAUGGUAAGUGUACCGGAAGGUGCACUUGGACAAAC